AGUCGAACGCUUUUUUCUUUCACCGGGAGCUUGCUCCACCGAAAGAAAAAGAGUGGCGAACGGGUGAGUAACACGUGGGUAACCUGCCCAUCAGAAGGGGAUAACACUUGGAAACAGGUGCUAAUACCGUAUAACACUAUUUUCCGCAUGGAAGAAAGUUGAAAGGCGCUUUUGCGUCACUGAUGGAUGGACCCGCGGUGCAUUAGCUAGUUGGUGAGGUAACGGCUCACCAAGGCAACGAUGCAUAGCCGACCUGAGAGGGUGAUCGGCCACACUGGGACUGAGACACGGCCCAGACUCCUACGGGAGGCAGCAGUAGGGAAUCUUCGGCAAUGGACGAAANUCUGACCGAGCAACGCCGCGUGAGUGAAGAAGGUUUUCGGAUCGUAAAACUCUGUUGUUAGAGAAGAACAAGGAUGAGAGUAAAAUGUUCAUCCCUUGACGGUAUCUAACCAGAAAGCCACGGCUAACUACGUGCCAGCAGCCGCGGUAAUACGUAGGUGGCAAGCGUUGUCCGGAUUUAUUGGGCGUAAAGCGAGCGCAGGCGGUUUCUUAAGUCUGAUGUGAAAGCCCCCGGCUCAACCGGGGAGGGUCAUUGGAAACUGGGAGACUUGAGUGCAGAAGAGGAGAGUGGAAUUCCAUGUGUAGCGGUGAAAUGCGUAGAUAUAUGGAGGAACACCAGUGGCGAAGGCGGCUCUCUGGUCUGUAACUGACGCUGAGGCUCNGAAGCGUGGGGAGCGAACAGGAUUAGAUACCCUGGUAGUCCACGCCGUAAACGAUGAGUGCUAAGUGUUGGAGGGUUUCCGCCCUUCAGUGCUGCAGCAAACGCAUUAAGCAUUCCGCCUGGGGAGUACNACCGCAAGGUUGAAAUUCAAAGGAAUUGACGGGGGCCNNGCACAAGCGGUGGAGC
rnacentral:rRNA from 1 species